rnacentral:rRNA from 1 species
GACGAACGCUGGCGGCGUGCUUAACACAUGCAAGUCGAACGGAAAGGCCCUGCUUUUGUGGGGUGCUCGAGUGGCGAACGGGUGAGUAACACGUGAGUAACCUGCCCUUGACUUUGGGAUAACUUCAGGAAACUGGGGCUAAUACCGGAUAGGAGCUCCUGCUGCAUGGUGGGGGUUGGAAAGUUUCGGCGGUUGGGGAUGGACUCGCGGCUUAUCAGCUUGUUGGUGGGGUAGUGGCUUACCAAGGCUUUGACGGGUAGCCGGCCUGAGAGGGUGACCGGCCACAUUGGGACUGAGAUACGGCCCAGACUCCUACGGGAGGCAGCAGUGGGGAAUAUUGCACAAUGGGCGGAAGCCUGAUGCAGCAACGCCGCGUGCGGGAUGACGGCCUUCGGGUUGUAAACCGCUUUCGCCUGUGACGAAGCGUGAGUGACGGUAAUGGGUAAAGAAGCACCGGCUAACUACGUGCCAGCAGCCGCGGUGAUACGUAGGGUGCGAGCGUUGUCCGGAUUUAUUGGGCGUAAAGGGCUCGUAGGUGGUUGAUCGCGUCGGAAGUGUAAUCUUGGGGCUUAACCCUGAGCGUGCUUUCGAUACGGGUUGACUUGAGGAAGGUAGGGGAGAAUGGAAUUCCUGGUGGAGCGGUGGAAUGCGCAGAUAUCAGGAGGAACACCAGUGGCGAAGGCGGUUCUCUGGGCCUUUCCUGACGCUGAGGAGCGAAAGCGUGGGGAGCGAACAGGCUUAGAUACCCUGGUAGUCCACGCUGUAAACGGUGGGUACUAGGUGUGGGGUCCAUUCCACGGGUUCCGUGCCGUAGCUAACGCUUUAAGUACCCCGCCUGGGGAGUACGGCCGCAAGGCUAAAACUCAAAGGAAUUGACGGGGCCCCGCACAAGCGGCGGAGCAUGCGGAUUAAUUCGAUGCAACGCGUAGAACCUUACCUGGGUUUGACAUGGAUCGGGAGUGCUCAGAGAUGGGUGUGCCUCUUUUGGGGUCGGUUCACAGGUGGUGCAUGCCUGUCGUCAGCUCGUGUCGUGAGAUGUUGGGUUAAGUCCCGCAACGAGCGCAACCCUUGUUCACUGUUGCCAGCACGUUAUGGUGGGGACUCAGUGGAGACCGCCGGGGUCAACUCGGAGGAAGGUGGGGAUGACGUCAAGUCCUCGUGCCCCUUAUGUCCAGGGCUUCACGCAUGCUACAAUGGCUGGUACAGAGAGUGGCGAGCCUGUGAGGGUGAGCGAAUCUCGGAAAGCCGGUCUCAGUUCGGAUUGGGGUCUGCAACUCGCCCUCAUGAAGUCGGAGUCGCUAGUAAUCGCAGAUCAGCAACGCUGCGGUGAAUACGUUCCCGGGCCU